GAAAGUGGUGGCUAGAUUCGCGUUCCCUUUCCAGACUAUCAAGGACUUCAAAGAUCUUUCAUAUUGUGCCCAAUCCCGAAAUUGGUUCUAUACAUAUGACCAGCAACGAGAAAAAUAAACGCAAUAGCUAAAUGGCGAUGGGCAAUAUCAGUCAGCCACAGUCCCCCAGUUACAGGAUCUAAUCCUCCACGAAAAGUAAGAAAUUCCGCAUAUUUUGACCAAUUCAAGGUGAAAAAUGGGGUUGCUCCCUCGGAAUCCUCCACGAAAAGUAAGAAAUUCCGCAUAUUUUGACCAAUUCAAGGUGAAAAAUGGGGUUUCUCCCUCGGCAAACUGGGAUAAAGUUGAGCCAAAAGAUCUCGAUUAAAGAUAAAUUCAUGAGGAAGUGGUAGCUCUUCAGGAUCUACUCCAGCGUUUAGAAAUUGGUUAAUCGGUAAAGAUAGAUGUACUUGAUGCCCCGCCCAAGAGAGAGACCCAAGUCCUAGUAGCCCUGCCAAAUGGUGAUUCUGGUAGUGUAAGAAAGCCCAUACCUAACUCGCUAUGCUUGGCGCGGUCCCGUGCUACGCUAUUUGAUCAAGA
rnacentral:lncRNA from 1 species